CCUUUGAGAAUAUAGGUGUUGCUGGAGGUGGAGAGGGAUAUAACCCAGAGGAGCUGGGGAGAAGGCACCUAAGCAGCUAAGGCCUGCAGGCAGCAUUUACCAGAGAGGGGAGACUACUUGUUUUCUUUUGAAGCAGUUGACUUGUGUUUUUGGUUUGGUUUGAACUUGUGACUAGAGAACUGGAUUGUGGCAAUAUGGGUCAAGAAGGCUAUAAAUGGGGGUGAUGGGGUGCAUCCCCCUGCUAUAGGGGCCAGAAACCAACCCCAGGCUAUGAGGCAGAAACUAAUAUACUGAGAUGGGUAUACCCCAAAGAGUAAGGGACUGCCAUCAAGGCCAAGUCUAUACCCCAGAAGCUAAGGUCUUAAUCCAUGGAACAAGGUGGGGCACAGCCAUAGAGAAAAAGGGGGCCUAGGUUAUGAUAGCUGCAGCUCCAAAGAGUCCACAAAAACCUGGGAGAACAACCCCUUAAAGGGGGAGUGCUGUUUGAGUACAGAUGGAUGAAAGAUUCAGGUAGGGUGACUGGUCUGAUUGGACAGAUCAGGCUACUCAUGAGGCUGCUACUGGUCCAAGGACUCCCCACUGACAACAAAUAACAUCAAAGUCGUGGAAGACAAGAAAUGGGAGUUACGGGGAGUCUGGGAAAAGGAGCAGUGGCCAACUCUGAAUCUGAAUCAAAUCAUUGGAACCAAUUAAAGGGUUCAAAUCGAUUUGGAAAGCUUCGGCGAUUCAGACAGUUCCUGCUGGCUGCAGUGGGGAGCUGGACCCAGACUCCAUGCUGGAUCAUAGGGCUGGAAAGGACGUUGCUGGCACCUACCACCAGGUUCCUACUCAAACCAGCAGUGAAAGCAAGAAGACCCAUGCUUCCUGGCUUCAGUAAAACUAAGAUUUAAUGCCUGGAAUUUUGGAAUUGAAAAUAGAUACAGGCUGAAUGAAAGAUUCCUAACCACCCACUCAAGGAUCUGAGCUCUUAAACUGCAUUGAGCAGGCCUGAAAAUCCCACCUUUUUAUGCAAUCUGCCAGAACUUUGGGCAUUGAAUCAGGCCAAAAACAUCCCAGAUCAAUCCAUUUUAUUUGCUAUUUGUGCUUUUAUUUCCCCCAUGUACCCAGUAGCAUAGAAUUUAACUAUAGCUGAGAUAUAAAAUAAGUAAAUAACCAACAGGGACCAAUAAUAAUUGCAAUAAGCCUAUAACUGUGAUGCUCUAGUAUUUAACAUUCUGGAUCAAAUUCUGCCCUGACUUACACACUCCACAACCCCUCUGAGUGCAAUAGGAUUUCAUGGGGUAUAAAUCAGGGGAGAAUGAGGUUAUCUUAAUGUAAGUGAAACUGCUGAUAUCACUUCCCUGUCUUAAAAGACUUGGGGGGAAAAAAAUAAGGUUGGAGCCAAAUACUGAAAAAUGAAUUCAGAAACUUUUAAAAUAUUUUUUCUUAUGUGGGCAAAGAUUUACUGUAUGUCAGGGCAGGGAUCUGUAGGAAGAGAAAAGAGUAAUUGUAAGAGUAGCUUUAUGAAAUGUCUUCAAAAAUGCUUGGUUGUACUUACUAAUAUUUACAGUACUUGCAAUAAAA